GCCGGGGUUGCGCCCAGUCGGGGAGGGGCAUGGCGAGACCUGCCCCCCAGCUUUGUCUUAGUUACUCUGAGGCAAGGGGCUGCGCUGGGCCGGAGCAACUAUACAGUGCCUGGCCCCGCCGACCCUCAAAGUGUCCCGGCUACAUUGCAACCGCGGCGCGGGGAGAACACAGGAAAGGAGUGGUCACUGGGCCGACAAAGGGUAACUGCCAUUAUUAAGCACCCAGGCUGGCCAGGCGCCGUCACCACCCCUUCUGUCCCGCGGUGGCAGCCCAGGCACACAGGGCACAGGCAUGUGUCCUAGGAUUGUGGAAGAGGCAGCGCUGGGAUACGAACCUGGGACAUGGGGCUCUUGGCCCCCUGCGCCAGGCUGAGGAAGACGUGUGCUUGAACCAGGCUUUGAAAAUUGGGGAGGGUUUGAUGGGUGCAGGUAACGGAGCAAGCUCUGCCCUCAUGGCCGUGAGACCUCGGGAAGACGUUUGAUCUUGGUGGGCGCACUUUCCUCCUCCGUAAAAGUGGCCGCACUUAGGAAAACGAGUAACUAAUAUGUCCACCUCCUAGCAAAUUAUUGGAAGGAACAUGAGAAACCUUCUCUCUUAAAACAGAGUUAGAAGAUGAGCUGAUACCGGAUUUCUCUGCCUACGUGGUGGGCAGCAUUCCGCUGGAGCCGCUAGCUCUGUUUCCUCUAGAAGGCGUCGUCCUCUUCAGUUUGCUGGUCCUCACUGUUUACAGGAUUCAAGCGUCUGUACUCACAUCUGGCCGCUGAGAGCAGGCCUACAGGACACCCCAAGUUUCCCUGUGUCCUCUCCUGCCACCCUGAAACCUGUUCUUCACACAACAGCCUGACUCAUCUCUUAAAAUACGACCGCCAACAACCUCCCAACUGGAUACCUAAAUCUGAGGGUAACUCUUCUAACUGGUGAUUGACAUCUGCCGAAGCAAAGAAUCAGAUUAGCCCUGAGCUAACUGCUGCCAAUCCUCCUCUUUUUGCUGAGGAAGUCUGGCCCUGAGCUAACAUCUGUGCCCAUCUUCCUC
rnacentral:lncRNA from 1 species